rnacentral:rRNA from 1 species
GUGGGGAAUAUUGGGCAAUGGGCGCAAGCCUGACCCAGCAACGCCGCGUGAAGGAAGAAGGCUUUCGGGUUGUAAACUUCUUUUACCAGGGACGAAACAAAUGACGGUACCUGGUGAAUAAGCCACGGCUAACUACGUGCCAGCAGCCGCGGUAAUACGUAGGUGGCGAGCGUUAUCCGGAUUUAUUGGGUGUAAAGGGCGUGUAGGCGGGACAGCAAGUCAGAUGUGAAAACCAGAGGCUCAACCUCUGGCCUGCAUUUGAAACUGUUGUUCUUGAGUGUCGGAGAGGUAAUCGGAAUUCCGUGUGUAGCGGUGAAAUGCGUAGAUAUACGGAGGAACACCAGUGGCGAAGGCGGAUUACUGGACGAUAACUGACGCUGAGGCGCGAAAGCGUGGGGAUCAAACAGGAUUAGAAACCCCAGUAGUCC